rnacentral:rRNA from 1 species
CAGUCGCCGCGGUAAUACGAAGGGUGCAAGCGUUACUCGGAAUUACUGGGCGUAAAGCGUGCGUAGGUGGUGGUUUAAGUCCGUUGUGAAAGCCCUGGGCUCAACCUGGGAAUUGCAGUGGAUACUGGGUCACUAGAGUGUGGUAGAGGAUAGUGGAAUUUCCGGUGUAGCAGUGAAAUGCGUAGAGAUCGGAAGGAACAUCUGUGGCGAAGGCGACUAUCUGGGCCAACACUGACACUGAGGCACGAAAGCGUGGGGAGCAAACAGGAUUAGAUACCCCGGUAGUCCCUGUCUCUUACAC